rnacentral:rRNA from 1 species
UGGGGAAUAUUGGACAAUGGGCGAAAGCCUGAUGGAGCGACGUCGCGUGAUGGACGAAGUGCUUCGGCACGUAAACAUCUUUUAUGUGGGAUGAAAUUAUUGACAGUACCACAUGAAUAAGGGGCUCCUAACUCUGUGCCAGCAGGAGCGGUAAUACAGAGGCCCCAAGCGUUAUCCGGAAUCACUGGGCGUAAAGGGUGUCGAGGCGGUUGUAUUAGUCGUUCGUAAAAUCUACGAGCUUAACUUGUAGGCGGCGAACGAAACGGUACGACUUGAGGUUUGGAGAGGUGCGUGGAACUCACGGUGUAGGGGUGAAAUCCGUUGAUAUCGUGGGGAACACCAAAGGCGAAGGCAGCGCACUGGCCAAAAUCUGACGCUCACACACGAAAGCUAGGGUAGCGAAGAGGAUUAGAUACCCUGGUAGUCCCUGAGCGGGCUGGCAAGGCGCAU